CCGAGUUUACAACUCCCAAACCCCUGUGAACAUACCUGAACGUUGCCUCGGCGGUGCUGCCCCGGCGCCCCAGCGGCCCGGACCCAGGCGCCCGCCGGAGGACCCCAAACCAUCUCUGUCUUAUAGUGGCAUUGUCUGAGUGGCGUAAAGCAAAUCAAUCA
rnacentral:misc_RNA from 1 species